GAUGAACGCUGGCGGCGUGCCUAAUACAUGCAAGUCGAGCGAACAGACGAGGAGCUUGCUCCUCUGACGUUAGCGGCGGACGGGUGAGUGACACGUGGAUAACCUACCUAUAAGACUGGGAUAACUUCGGGAAACCGGAGCUAAUACCGGAUAAUAUAUUGAACCGCAUGGUUCAAUAGUGAAAGACGGUUUUGCUGUCACUUAUAGAUGGAUCCGCGCCGCAUUAGCUAGUUGGUAAGGUAACGGCUUACCAAGGCAACGAUGCGUAGCCGACCUGAGAGGGUGAUCGGCCACACUAGAACUGAGACACGGUCCAGACUCCUACGGGAGGCAGCAGUAGGGAAUAUUCCGCAAUGGGCGAAAGCCUGACGGAGCAACGCCGCGUGAGUGAUGAAGGUCUUCGGAUCGUAAAACUCUGUUAUUAGGGAAGAACAAAUGUGUAAGUAACUAUGCACGUCUUGACGGUACCUAAUCAGAAAGCCACGGCUAACUACGUG
rnacentral:rRNA from 1 species